rnacentral:lncRNA from 1 species
GUGAUCCCGACGCAAGAGGUCACGUGUUGGGCCACCACUGCUGGAUACACGAAGCGUUCGCUUGCCGAGGCUGGCUGCCUGACGUAAUGCUCCCUUCUAUAUUUUUCCUUCCUUCAUGCACGCGUCUCGCCG